AUGAACGCUGACAGAAUGCUUAACACAUGCAAGUCGAUGGGGAAGUGGUGCUUGCACCAUGGUAACCAUGGCGGACGGGUGAGUAACGCGUAAGGAACUUACCUGCGGGACCGGGAUAACAGCAGGAAACUGCUGACAAGACCGGAUAAGGUCAUUAAGCUGCAUAGCUUAGUGAUGAAAGGAGACGCCUGCGGAGAGCCUUGCGUCCUAUUAGCUAGUUGGAGGGGUAACGGCCCACCAAGGCGAAGAUAGGUAGCCGGCCUGAGAGGGUGGACGGCCACAAGGGGACUGAGAUACGGCCCUUACUCCUACGGGAGGCAGCAGUGGGGAAUAUUGGACAAGGGGGGCAACCCUGAUCCAGCAAUUCUGUGUGCACGAAGACGGUUUUCGGAUUGUAAAGUGCUUUCAGCAGGGAAGAAGGAAGUGACGGUACCUGCAGAAGAAGCGACGGCUAAAUACGUG
rnacentral:rRNA from 1 species